GUGGCUGUACAGUAACAUGGAAGGGAGUUGCACAUCAUGCAGAUCAACACAUGGACAAGAAGAUGGACAAUGAGUACAGGGGUACCAACCGGUUCUGCGGUGGAUGACUGGUUCAGGCGCGCGGAGGAGACAUGGGACGCCGCCCAUGUUCACCUCCAGCGGGCCGUGAUGCGCCAGAAAGCCAGCGAAGACCGUCACCGCAGUGAGGCCCCGGUGUUCGCACCGGCUCUCGACCCGGAACCUGCCCUUCCGCUGCCCUGCCAGAAGCUGGACCCGCGGUUUGUGGGGCCAUUUAAAGUCCUGAGUAGAGUGAACGAGGUUUGUUAUAGGUUACAGCUUCCCCCUGAUUACCGUAUUAACCCCUCGUUCCAUGUGUCUUUCCUCAGGCCGGUGGUGGUUGGCCCGCUCCAGG
ensembl:lncRNA